AACAAAUCCUGUGGUCAAAUCCAAGGGGGAAGGAAGGGAAAGCAGAAGUUGAACAAAACUUCCGAUCCAAUGCUGCAGUUGUUACACAAAAUCAACGCAUUUCCCAGAAGCAGAGUAACAGAAUGUCGGUGCUGGAUGUGAAUAUGAGACACUGUGCUCUGUGUGCUGGGGUUAUUCUCACUCCUCUACCAUGGACAUGCUCAAGAUGCUGUGUUGACCAUUGAACCAAACUUGUCCACUUUAUUUACCGGAGAGUCUGUUACCUUCAUAUGUGACAUGAGGGAAGGAGAAGACACCGACUGGCAAUACUCAUUCUUGAUGGAUGGUCGAGUAUUUGUCUCCGACUCAAAUAAGAGAUAUACUUUACAACAACUAGCUACAGGUCACAGUGGUGUAUACCAGUGCUUUGGUGAGCACAAAAUCUUGCCACCUUUUAGAAAAGAAAGUAAUAAAUUCUCUCUAACUGUAUCAGACAGAGAUGUGAUCCUGGAAACUCCUGCAUCCACUUUGUUUGAAGGAGAAUCAGUGACUCUGCGCUGUAGACAUCGUACUCCGACAGAGGAGAAGAAUGCUGUCUUCUACAAAGACGGAUCAACUAUUCAAAUAGACACAAACCAUCAGUCACUGAUAAUAUCAAAAAACACAGUUCAAGUAAAAUCAGAUUGGAGCUCUUACAUGUGUAAAUUUGAGGAUGAAGAAUCCGAACCAAUAAAACUGAAACUGGAACGUAAGUAGUUUUUAUACUAAGGCAGGCAUUCCAAGAGUGAAGCAAAGUGAUGAUUUCUCUGCAUUAUCGUAGAGGCACUGAAAACUUAACAAAGGGGAAAAAGAGAAUGAUUAAAUAAGUUAUGUAUUAUUUCCUACAAUUAGUUGUGGCACCACCAAGGAUGCUGGAUGAAAAUGUAUUAUUCAUUUGAAUUAUCUUUCAAACUGGACUAGGUCACAUGGACAAUAAUUACUACUUUUUAUGUCUUUAUUCUAAAUGAAACAGCCCAACCAAAGGCCCAACUGAGCAAAGAUGUUUCAGCAGAGGGCAGUGUGACCCUGACCUGCUCUGUGAACCCAUCAUCAUCAUCAUCAUCAUCUGGUUGGAAAUACUUCUGGUACAGAGAAGAGAAAACCUCUGAACCCCUGACCUCACAAGAUGUUCUUCUCUCAAAUUAAACAAUCAGUGUCUCAGUAGGAGGAGUCUAAUGGUGCAGAGGAGGAAGAGGAGAGCCUGUUUACUACACAGAGUACAGCGACCCAGUCGAAAUCUCUCCAUUUCCUGUGCUGUUGAUUGUUGGUCUGGUUGGUAGAGUUUUACUGAUUCUUCUCCUGCUGCUGUUUCUGUAUCGCUACAGAAAGUCAAACGAUUUAUGCUUCAGCAGGUCUCAGAGCACCAAUCAGAGCCAUGCUACUGACCACAUGACCAACGAGGUGGAAGCUUCUCUUCUCCAUGGUGAUGCUUGUCUCUAUGAAACAAUCAAAGGCCCUGAAGAACCUGAACAUGGGAGGAAUAAAGAACCAGAGGACAGCCUUUACUCCAAUGUGACGAUAGGAUCAGCUGCAGCUCAAUAAAGACAUCUGAGGACAAAACCAAUGGAAUGGGUGACAACUUAUAUGACCACAUUGUUGUUUAAGCAGUAUUUGCAACUUAAAUAAAAAGUGUGAUUAUUGUGUGCACUUCUGCUAUUAGACAGUAUUUUGUACAGUUGACCUUAUAGCAGAUCACUGAAAGGAAAUACAUCAUAUGGCUUUAAUCUUUUGUUGUAAUUGGUGAAAAGCCUAUGGAGUUUUACAUAAAAUAAUUAAAUAUUUAUAGUGAGUUUUUAUGUCCUGUAUUUCUUCUUUGGUAAACUGUCCCUCUGUUUUUUAAAGCUCCUAUACUUCGAAUGGAUGGUGUCUCCAAAAGCAGCAAAAAUAAUCGGUUUUAAAUAUUUGGGCUUCAUGUGAUAGUUCAGUUACAAAGUCAGCAUCUCUUUCAUUGAUGAUGAAAAAGCUUUACACAUUUAUAAUAUUGGAUUUCAAAAGAAAUAAAUCCUUUUGCACACA